rnacentral:rRNA from 1 species
UACAGAGGUCCCAAGCGUUGUUCGGAUUCACUGGGCGUAAAGGGUGCGUAGGCGGUCGGGUAAGUCUGAUGUGAAAUCUCACAGCUUAACUGUGAAACUGCAUUGGAUACUAUUCGGCUAGAGAGUUGGAGGGGGGACUGGAAUUCUUGGUGUAGCAGUGAAAUGCGUAGAUAUCAAGAGGAACACCGGUGGCGAAGGCGGGUCUCUGGGCCAAAACUGACGCUGAGGAGCGAAAGCGUGGGGAGCGAACAGG